rnacentral:piRNA from 1 species
UGUUCCACUUUUCCUUGCGCACCAAGGUGU